GGGGAUGAUCGGUUUCGACAUCGUCUUCGAAUCUGCGAGAAGCGGGCCGAGGAUGCAGGGUUAUCUCGUUAACGAUCUCUGCAAAACAAUAAGUGCCGAUGCAAAGCGCACUGACUUCGCCCUCGCUGCGUAAGCGA
rnacentral:tmRNA from 1 species